rnacentral:lncRNA from 1 species
UCCUGUCUUGGCCCCACGGCAGCCCCUCCAGAGAGCCACAGGUCAGAGGGGGCAGCUGAGCAGUACCCUUGCUGGAGAGGCUAGGCGUGGAGAGGGCAGAGAUGGCGGCAGAGUGGGACCCCUACUGCUGGCAGAGGGGGUUGUCCUCUGCUGCAGGGACUCGCCUUAUCUCCUCAGAGUGGUCACCCCACAAGGAGCUGGGAGCCAGGCCAUCUGGGCCCUGUGGGAUGUGGGCUCCCAUCCCCACUCCUACCCCCAAAGCAAGCAGUCAGGCUGCCCCAGGUGCCACCAUGGGGGAAGGGUGCCUCACAAGUACAGAGGCGCCCUCCCCGGGUGCAGGGA